GGGUGAGUAACACGUGGGUAACCUGCCUUACACAAAGGAAUAACAAUUAGAAAUGAUUGCUAAAACCUUAUAAGCUCACACUUCGGCAUCGGAGAGUGAGAAAAUAUUUAUAGGUGUAAGAGGGGCCCGCGGUAGAUUAGCUAGUUGGAGAGGUAAUGGCUCACCAAGGCAACGAUCUAUAGCCGACCUGAGAGGGUGAACGGCCACAUUGGGACUGAGACACGGCCCAAACUCCUACGGGAGGCAGCAGUGGGGAAUAUUGCACAAUGGGCGAAAGCCUGAUGCAGCAAUACCGCGUGAAGGAAGAAGGUUUUCGGAUUGUAAACUUCUAUCAGUAGGGAUGAAAAAAAUGACAGUACCUAACUAAGAAGCCCCGGCUAAAUACGUGCCAGCAGCCGCGGUAAUACGUAUGGGGCAAGCGUUAUCCGGAAUUACUGGGUGUAAAGGGUGAGUAGGCGGUUUGAUAAGUCAUAUGUGAAAGGUUAGAGCUCAACUCUAAGAGUGCAUAAGAAACUGUCAGGCUAGAGUGCAGGAGAGGUAAGUGGAAUUCCUAGUGUAGCGGUGAAAUGCGUAGAUAUUAGGAAGAACACCAGUGGCGAAGGCGACUUACUGGACUGUAACUGACGCUGAGUCACGAAAGCGUGGGGAGCGAACAGGAUUAGAUACCCUGGUAGUCCACGCCGUAAACGAUGAGUGCUAGGUAUUGGGUAGGAAUAUUCAGUGCCGUAGCUAACGCAAUAAGCACUCCACCUGGGGAGUACGACCGCAAGGUUGAAACUCAAAGGAAUUGACGGGGACCCGCACAAGCGGUGGAGCAUGUGGUUUAAUUCGAAGCAACGCGAAGAACCUUACCAAGACUUGACAUCCUUUUGAUCGGACUAGAAGUAGUCCUUUCCUUCGGGACAGAAGUGACAGGUGGUGCAUGGUUGUCGUCAGCUCGUGUCGUGAGAUGUUGGGUUAAGUCCCGCAACGAGCGCAACCCUUAUCUUUAGUAGCCAGCAUUAAGUUGGGGACUCUAGAGAGACUGCCGUGGAUAACACGGAGGAAGGUGGGGACGACGUCAAAUCAUCAUGCCCCUUAUGUCUUGGGCUACACACGUGCUACAAUGGCGGAUACAAAGAGAAGCGAAUGCGUGAGUAUAAGCAAACCUCAAAAAGUCCGUCCCAGUUCGGAUUGUAGUCUGCAACUCGACUACAUGAAGUUGGAAUCGCUAGUAAUCGCGAAUCAGAAUGUCGCGGUGAAU
rnacentral:rRNA from 1 species